rnacentral:rRNA from 1 species
AAGUCGUAACAAGGUUUCCGUAGGUGAACCUGCGGAAGGAUCAUUAUCGAACCCGAACCGUCCGGUGGGGGGGUCUCCCCCCUACCGGGCCUUCGAACCCGCUUCACACCCUCGUGCACUCCCUGUAGGUCCCUCGGGAUCCCUACGUCUCGUCUUUCGCUCGCAUGUCUAAAGAAAGUAUUCUUCGUGUCUCGGCCUCGACCCUCGAGGGUCCCGCGUCGACGACCGUGAACGCCAGUACAACUUUCAGCGACGGAUCUCUUGGCUCUCGCAUCGAUGAAGAACGCAGCGAAUCGCGAUAAGUAAUGUGAAUUGCAGAUUUUCCGUGAAUCAUCGAAUCUUUGAACGCACCUUGCGCUCCUCGGUAUUCCGAGGAGCAUGCCUGUUCGAGUGUCGUCGAAACCUCGAAUCGAAGCUCGGGACCCCCCCAGCUUCGUUCGGACCUUGGGAGCCUGCGGGCGAGCCUUUGCCUCGUCCGCUCUCCUCAAAGGCAUUAGCUUGUGGACGGCCAGCCUCGCGUGGCACGGCCUCUUCGACGUCGUAAUGAUCGUCGUGGGCUGGAAGCGCCAGGCCGGACCCCAAGCUUCCCUAGACUUGCGAGCCCGCUCUCCGGAACGGCCGCGCCCCAUCGACCCUCGACCUCGAAUCAGGUAGGACUACCCGCCGAACUUAA